rnacentral:rRNA from 1 species
GAGCGGACCUUCUCCUGUUGGAGGGGAGGUUAGCGGCGGACGGGCGAGUAACACGUAGGCAACCUGCCCAUAAGACCGGGAUAACAUUCGGAAACGAAUGCUAAGACCGGAUACGCAAGUCUUAGGCAUCUAGGGCUUGGGAAACACGGAGCAAUCUGUGGCUUAUGGAUGGGCCUGCGGCGCAUUACCUAGUUGGUAAGGUAGCGGCCCACCAAGGCGACGAUGCGUAGCCGACCUGAGAGGGUGAACGGCCACACUGGGACUGAGACACGGCCCAGACUCCUACGGGAGGCAGCAGUAGGGAAUCUUCCACAAUGGGCGAAAGCCUGAUGGAGCAACGCCGCGUGAGUGAGGAAGGCUUUCGGGUCGUAAAGCUCUGUUGCCAGGGAAGAAUAAGGGCGAGUUAACUGCUCGUCCGAUGACGGUACCUGAGAAGAAAGCCCCGGCUAACUACGUGCCAGCAGCCGCGGUAAU